GGUAUAGGUUGUGAAAGGGAGUUUCCACUCGUGUCCACCGAAUCUCUUCUCCCCCAGUUAUUUUCUGGGACACUGUACUAUACAACUUUAUUUGAUGGCAGAACAUUCAGAGGCUGUAAGCUUGACACAUGGCAAAAUGCUUCUGCUGUUUCUGAGUCUCAGUUUGCUCACUUCUAAUGUCCAGUCAGAAAAACAAGGGGUUAAUGUAACGUGUGAAAAUCAAUCGGUUGUUCCAGGACAGAACCACAACCUGACAUGUAGAGUGCAAUACAGUGAUGUAGGUCAGAAUAAUAUGGGAUGUAAAACUACAAAUUAUUUCUGGAAACAUAAAUCAAAAUCUCCAAUACGAAAUUGUGAUUGUAUAAAAGAUUGUAACACUACGAUAACAACCAACACCUACUUUUGUGAGAUCAAAAAUGUUACCAAAGCUGAUGAGGGAAACUACACUUUUACCAUUAACACAAACUGUGGCAACGGAGA